AUACUUACCUGGCAGGGGAGACACCAUGAUCAGGCAGGUGGUUUUCCCAGGGCGAGGCUCAUCCCCUGCACUCCGGGUGUGCUGACCCCUGCGAUUUCCCCAAAUGCGGGAAACUCGACUGCAUAAUUUGNGCGGGCGUUUGGGGUCGGGGGUGUCCGUG
rnacentral:snRNA from 1 species